GACGAACGCUGGCGGCGUGCUUAACACAUGCAAGUCGAACGGAAAGGCCCUGCUUUUGUGGGGUGCUCGAGUGGCGAACGGGUGAGUAACACGUGAGUAACCUGCCCUUGACUUUGGGAUAACUUCAGGAAACUGGGGCUAAUACCGGAUAGGAGCUCCUGCUGCAUGGUGGGGGUUGGAAAGUUUCGGCGGUUGGGGAUGGACUCGCGGCUUAUCAGCUUGUUGGUGGGGUAGUGGCUUACCAAGGCUUUGACGGGUAGCCGGCCUGAGAGGGUGACCGGGCACAAUGGGACUGAGAGACGGCCCAGACUGCUACGGGGGGCAGCAGUGGGGAAUAUUGCACAAUGGGCGGAAGCCUGAUGCAGCAACGCCGCGUGCGGGAUGACGGCCUUCGGGUUGUAAACCGCUUUCGCCUGUGACGAAGCGUGAGUGACGGUAAUGGGUAAAGAAGCACCGGCUAACUACGUG
rnacentral:rRNA from 1 species